UGGGAUAUGGUGCAACGGCAGCACACCAGACUUUGAAUCUGUGGAUCUUGGUUCGAAUCCAGGUAUCCCAGCAA
rnacentral:tRNA from 1 species